CCUACGGGGGGCAGCAGUGGGGAAUAUUGCGCAAUGGGCGAAAGCCUGACGCAGCGACGCCGCGUGAGGGAUGAAGGUCUUCGGAUCGUAAACCUCUGUCAGCAGGGAAGAACGGUCACUGUGCUAAUCAGCAGUGAAUUGACGGUACCUGAAGAAGAAGCCCCGGCUAACUACGUGCCAGCAGCCGCGGUAAUACGUAGGGGGCAAGCGUUAUCCGGAUUUACUGGGUGUAAAGGGGGCGCAGGCGGCGAUGCAAGCCAGGAGUGAAAGCCCGGGGCCCAACCCCGGGACUGCUCUUGAAACUGCGUGGCUGGAGUGCAGGAGGGGCAGGCGGAAUUCCUGGUGUAGCGGUGAAAUGCGUAGAUAUCAGGAGGAACACCGGUGGCGAAGGCGGCCUGCUGGACUGCAACUGACGUUGAGGCCCGAAAGCGUGGGGAGCAAACAGGAUUAGAUACCCCUGUAGUC
rnacentral:rRNA from 1 species